rnacentral:rRNA from 1 species
UACGUAGGGUGCAAGCGUUGUCCGGAAUUAUUGGGCGUAAAGGGCUCGUAGGCGGUCCAUCGCGUCGGGAGUGAAAAGCUGGGGCUCAACCCCAGUCCUGCUUCCGAUACGGGUGGACUAGAGGUAUGCAGGGGAGAACGGAAUUCCUGGUGUAGCGGUGAAAUGCGCAGAUAUCAGGAGGAACACCGGUGGCGAAGGCGGGACUCUGGGCCGAUACUGACGCUGAGGAGCGAAAGCGUGGGGAGCAAACAGG